rnacentral:tRNA from 1 species
GGGUUUGUAGCUCGGUGGUAGAGCAUUUGACUGAAGAUCAAGAGGUCACCGAUUGGGCCCU